UACGGAGGAUGCGAGCGUUAUCCGGAUUUAUUGGGUUUAAAGGGUGCGCAGGCGGCACGGCAAGCCGGCGGUCAAAUCGCGGGGCUCAACCCCGCCCAGCCGUCGGAACUGCCGGGCUAGAGUGGGCGAGAAGUGCGCGGAAUGCGUGGUGUAGCGGUGAAAUGCAUAGAUAUCACGCAGAACUCCGAUUGCGAAGGCAGCGCGCCGGCGCCCUACUGACGCUCAGGCACGAAAGCGUGGGUAUCGAACAGG
rnacentral:rRNA from 1 species